rnacentral:tRNA from 1 species
UCCCUUGUAGCUCACAUGGUAAAGAAUCUGCCUACAAUGCAGGAGACCUGGGUUCAAUUCCUGGCUCAGGAA